AAUCAACGCUGGCGGCGUGCCUAACACAUGCAAGUCGAACGGGAAAGUGGAGCAAUCCAUGAGUAUAGUGGCGACCGGGUGAGUAACACGUGACUAACCUACCUUCGAGUGGGGGAGUAACCUCGGGAACCGGGGACGUAAUACCGCAUAACAUCUUUGUUAUGAGAAAGACGAAGAUCAAAGGAAGCAAUUCGCUUGAAGAGGGGGUCGGCGGCUGAUUAGCUAGUUGGU
rnacentral:rRNA from 1 species